rnacentral:misc_RNA from 1 species
AAGACUAUAGACCUGCGGAGUACCUGGGAGGGAUCAUUAUCGUAUUGUAACAAUUGGGGGGGCCACCGUGGGCUGUCGCUGACCCUUUGAAAGGGGGGUCGUGCACGCCCCCAUAGUGUCAUCCUCAUACAAUCCAACUCACCUCUGUGCAUCACCGCGUGGGUUCCUUUCUGGGUCGAGUCAGACUGGCUCAGAAAAAAGGGGCUUGCGUUUUCCAUACAAAUACCCUUAUAAAUCCAG